GUGAAAGGGUUUCGCAUCGUCUCUCUCUUUCUCGUUCUUUUCUUCCGUGACGGCGUUUCAUGCCCAACCAAGGAACGAGCGUGACACGAGCCGACACUACUGGAUCUACGACGCCUGUCGACGAGCGCUCUGUGCGGACGUAGACGGACCGAUUUGGGACCCCCUUCACAAUGACAAGUUAACAUGGGAAAUGCAUUAGCGGUGCUGACGUUUGAUCUCUCGUCCUCUCUAAUUCGGCUGGCCUUCACAGCGAAGGAUAGACGAAGUGUCAAGAUGGCAUUGCAAGGAGCGAUCGACAAGGAUCAGAAGUAAUGACAGCCGAAAGUCUUUCCCCCGGACGGAUCUUUAUGGCAGACAUUAGGCAACUUGCGUGCGGCGUAUGCACCCAUUCUGCAGCGUAACACAGGACUGAGUGGCUUAAGAGUGGCGGGCCUACGUAUGCUGCGCAGUUUGAGAAAUCGUCAGAAGCAACUAGGAUACCUUUGUAGCGACAUCGUGGCUUGGCUUAGGGUCGCGUCAGCCGUUGGCAUUAAUCGUCGCCACAUCCCUGCGGCACGUCGGACGUCACGUGCGACAGGCAGCUUUUCCUCCUUCCGGCUCUUUCACAAGGCCAUUUUCUACAAAUGUGAACUAACCGAUUCGCACCCAGCAACACUCAUCCCAAGCAUCGUCGCUGAGGGAAAAUUCAACAUAAGCACAUUGUUGCAAGCCAGUGUCGCCAUUGAGUCGGGUCGAGCAGUUUGCCAUGAGCAAAGUAAUUACGGGCAGAACGCAGAGCUAGAGGCUUCAACCCAGCCAACAUCUGGGAUUUCCACCGUCAGAAGCUUUUCUUCAACGGAUCCUCAACUGAACCUCCCCUUGAUGUCUUCUGUUCACCACUGUCAUCGCCACCACCACUAUUACGGACAAGGGGGCACCAACGGGAACAAAAUAUGCGUAACUCGCCGCGGUCUGCUCUUACGCAAGGUUGAGCUGACGAUAAUUAAAGGGUCUUGCUGUUAUUAUUAUUAUUCAGAGCCCGCAGGCUAUAAUCAGCAUCUCAGGUGGAGGAGUAUGCUUCAAAUAUACUACAAUGCUAUGUGUAGGUGUGUAUAUACGCUUAGAAACUGUUAGGUUCGUCUGACCUCCUUUUGAACCAAGUUCAACCCUAAUGGAAGACAACGAGGCGAGCCACGGAACGGUCAAGCAAGUGCAUCAAGGCCCGCAGGCUCAGUUAGAGGAGAGUGAAAGGUGAUAUUCGAGGGAGAUGGCCGACUGAGAAACUGCCCAACUUCAUGACAGUGCCGUAUGCUCAGUUAUCUCCUUAAAAUCAUCAAGAGCGAUAGGCAGGAUUGCUCUAGAACUGCUGAUAAGCCGCGUAGCAAGAUCACCAAUAAUACUAACCGUUCAACGUAGAAUGUUCAUCGUGCUCUUAUGGAGAAACAGAAGUCAAACGGAAAAAGCAAUAUCUUUCUGGAAUCAACUGUUACAAAUUCCCAUAGUAAACUGGCUUCACUCACAAUGCAUUGGCAGUCUAAACGGAUAACGUGACAACUGAUGGACACAGCACUGACGAUUGAAUCAGGGCGCGUGAAAAUCAAAGCAGUAUUAGUAGUAGCAGUAGCAGUAGCAGUAGGACCGACCCGAGUGACGGCGGGUUACGACGAUGAACGCCCCUGCUGAGGACAAGAGGAAGCUCGCCGGCACCUCAAACACCUCGCAAGCUUAUAGUAAAGCUACACCUUGGGCGAAGAAGUAUUCCAAGCAGAGGUGACUAGCUUGAGAUGGGGAAAAAAGCACCGGGUGGGCAUUUCGUCUCGGCUAUAGUCAAAUGAAGAUUGGCAGAAGCUGGAAACGAAGAAAGAGAACUAGCUGACACUGUAUCGUAAAGAGUCAGACGUAAAUAGAUCGACAGACAGGAAGAGAACUGCUAAGUGAACGCCAACUGUCAGCAUAAUCACCAGUCGACGCUGAAAUAUGGACCAAAACGUACAAAC
rnacentral:lncRNA from 1 species